rnacentral:rRNA from 1 species
GAUGAACGCUGGCGGCGUGCCUAAUACAUGCAAGUCGAGCGAACGGACGAGAAGCUUGCUUCUCUGAUGUUAGCGGCGGACGGGUGAGUAACACGUGGAUAACCUACCUAUCAGACUGGGAUAACUUCGGGACACCGGAGCUAAUACCGGAUAAUAUUUUGAACCGCAUGGUUCGAAAGUGAAAGACGGUCUUGCUGUCACUUAUAGAUGGAUCCGCGCUGCAUUAGCUAGUUGGUAAGGUAACGGCUUACCAAGGCAACGAUGCGUAGCCGACCUGAGAGGGUGAUCGGCCACACUGGAACUUAGACACGGUCCAGACUCCUACGGGAGGCAGCAGUAUGGAAUCCUCCGCAAUGGGCGAAAGCCUGACGGAGCAACGCCGCGUGAGUGAUGAAGGUCUUCGGAUCGUAAAACUCUGUUAUUAGGGAAGAACAUAUGUGUAAGUAACUGUGCACAUCUUGACGGUACCUAAUCAGAAAGCCACGGCUAACUACGUG